UGCAAGAUAGAGCAGUGGUAGCUUGUAAGACUCAUAAUCUUAAGGUCGGUGGUUCGAAUCCACCUCUUGCAA
rnacentral:tRNA from 1 species